rnacentral:rRNA from 1 species
UGGGGAAUUUUGGACAAUGGGGGAAACCCUGAUCAAGCCAUCCCGCGUGUGCGAUGAAGGCCUUCGGGUUGUAAAGCACUUUUGGCAGGAAAGAAACGUCAUGGGUUAAUACCCCGUGAAACUGACGGUACCUGCAUAAUAAGCACCGGCUAACUACGUGCCAGCAGCCGCGGUAAUACGUAGGGUGCAAGCGUUAAUCGGAAUUACUGGGCGUAAAGCGUGCGCAGGCGGUUCGGAAAGAAAGAUGUGAAAUCCCAGAGCUCAACUUUGGAACUGCAUUUUUAACUACCGAGCUAGAGUGUGUCAUAGGGAGGUGGAAUUCCGCGUGUAGCAGUGAAAUGCGUAGAUAUGCGGAGGAACACCGAUGGCGAAGGCAGCCUCCUGGGAUAACACUGACGCUCAUGCAAGAAAGCGUGGGGAGCAAACAGG